ACCAGCAGGUAUGUCACUCUGCAACUCUCAACUGGCUGACCACUGAAGCUCAGGAGGUGUGAGCCUAGCCAGUACCUGGAUGGGAGACCUCCUGGGAAAGCUAAGGUUGCUGCUGGAA
rnacentral:rRNA from 1 species